UGCAGUCGAACGCUGAAGCACCAGCUUGCUGGUGUGGAUGAGUGGCGAACGGGUGAGUAAUACGUGAGUAACCUGCCCUUGACUCUGGGAUAAGCCCGGGAAACUGGGUCUAAUACUGGAUGCUACAUGUCACCGCAUGGUGGUGUGUGGAAAGGGUUUACUGGUCUUGGAUGGGCUCACGGCCUAUCAGCUUGUUGGUGAGGUAAUGGCUCACCAAGGCGACGACGGGUAGCCGGCCUGAGAGGGUGACCGGCCACACUGGGACUGAGACACGGCCCAGACUCCUACGGGAGGCAGCAGUGGGGAAUAUUGCACAAUGGGCGAAAGCCUGAUGCAGCGACGCCGCGUGAGGGAUGACGGCCUUCGGGUUGUAAACCUCUUUCAGCAGGGAAGAAGCCACAAGUGACGGUACCUGCAGAAGAAGCGCCGGCUAACUACGUGCCAGCAGCCGCGGUAAUACGUAGGGCGCAAGCGUUGUCCGGAAUUAUUGGGCGUAAAGAGCUCGUAGGCGGUUUGUCGCGUCUGCUGUGAAAGCCCGGGGCUUAACCCCGGGUGUGCAGUGGGUACGGGCAGACUAGAGUGCAGUAGGGGAGACUGGAAUUCCUGGUGUAGCGGUGGAAUGCGCAGAUAUCAGGAGGAACACCGAUGGCGAAGGCAGGUCUCUGGGCUGUUACUGACGCUGAGGAGCGAAAGCAUGGGGAGCGAACAGGAUUAGAUACCCUGGUAGUCCAUGCCGUAAACGUUGGGCACUAGGUGUGGGGGACAUUCCACGUUUUCCGCGCCGUAGCUAACGCAUUAAGUGCCCCGCCUGGGGAGUACGGCCGCAAGGCUAAAACUCAAAGGAAUUGACNNCANNNGNGGGNNGCUANCAUGCAGUCGAACGCUGAAGCACCAGCUUGCUGGUGUGGAUGAGUGGCGAACGGGUGAGUAAUACGUGAGUAACCUGCCCUUGACUCUGGGAUAAGCCCGGGAAACUGGGUCUAAUACUGGAUGCUACAUGUCACCGCAUGGUGGUGUGUGGAAAGGGUUUACUGGUCUUGGAUGGGCUCA
rnacentral:rRNA from 1 species